ACUUUACAAUGCUGGCAACAGCGAUAAGGGAACCUCGAGUGCCAGGUUACAAAUCUGGCUGUCGAGAUGCCUAAAAAGCAUUUCAUAGCAAGGGCCGGGCAAGACCGGUGCCAGCCGCCGCGGUAACACCGGCGGCUCGAGUGGUAACCGUUAUUAUUGGGUCUAAAGGGUCUGUAGCCGGCCGGAUAAGUCUCUUGGGAAAUCUGGCAGCUCAACUGUCAGGCUUUCAGGAGAUACUGUCUGGCUCGAGGCCGGGAGAGGUGAGAGGUACUUCAGGGGUAGGGGUGAAAUCUUGUAAUCCUUGAAGGACCACCAGUGGCGAAGGCGUCUCACCAGAACGGACCUGACGGCAAGGGACGAAAGCUAGGGGCACGAACCG
rnacentral:rRNA from 1 species